rnacentral:rRNA from 1 species
UACGUAGGGUGCAAGCGUUGUCCGGAAUCAUUGGGCGUAAAGAGCGUGUAGGCGGCCCGAUCAGUCCGCUGUAAAAGUCCAGGGCUCAACCCUGGAAGGCCGGUGGAUACUGUCGGGCUAGAGUCCGGAAGAGGCGAGUGGAAUUCCUGGUGUAGCGGUGAAAUGCGCAGAUAUCGGGAAGAACACCCGUGGCGAAGGCGGCUCUCUGGGACGGUACUGACGCUGAGACGCGAAAGCGUGGGGAGCGAACAGG